rnacentral:lncRNA from 1 species
AUGGGUACCUAUGCUUGCAACUCUAUCUUCAGCUCGCCACCAUUUCCCCUUGUCUCUGUCCCGCAAACAUCUCCAAAAGGACGAGGGACUUUGACACACCAGAAAGCAAACCAGCGUUUGACUGAAGAAGUUCUGGACGUGAAUAGCUCUCCAAAGAUUUUGACGGCAGGUGGCAGGUCAGUGACUUUUCUAUCUUUCUACUUGUCUGUGAAACAGAUGCGCUGCUGCACUUUGAAACAUACAGCAUGUUUCAGUGGCGAAUACUAUUGCAAGUUUGGGAUGGACAUUUGGGAAGAACAAGAAUGAGCAAUACUUGAAAAAACACUCAACUGGGUGUCACCUGUGGUUGCUCUGAUGCCAGUGGCUUAUUUUUUUUCAUUGAAAUCAUCUCAGGGAUACAUCUUUGCAGUUUGGCAGCACAGCGAUGCAGCGAGUCACGCUGCCGCCUCACAGCCCCUGGGUGGUGCAAGAAAAAAUGGGGUUUGUCCAGCUGCUCUGGAUUCCCUCCACAGUCCAAAGACAUGCAGUUCAGGUGAACUGGUGUCUCUAAAUUCCCUUUAGGGUCUGUGUGUAUGUGUGGCUACCCUACGAUGGACUGAUGUCCCGCUCCGAGUGUACCCCCCUCAGCCUUGCGUCCAGUGCUUCUGGGAUAGGCUUCGGAUCACCGCGACCCUGCCCAGGACAAAGCGGUUCUGAAAUUGGAUGGAUGGAUCUUUGUGGUUAUGACUUAAUUCUGGCACGUCUCAGGGAUUGCAUGGGUUAAGUGUACGACUUCUUACCGUGCAAAAGUAAAUGCAGCUCUCCAUUAAGGUUCAGUUUGUCUGGGGUGGAAAACACAAAAUUGCCAAAUUUUUAUUUGUGAAGACAUACUGUGUUGACCCUUGUUAAAAUAAGAAAUGCUGAUGUAAAUUGCACAUUAAAAGUAACUUACCACGGGACAGCAGGUAGUGUGGUGGUUAGAGCUGCUGCCUUUGGACCCACAGGUUCAGAUCUCACCUCUGACUAUGACACUCAUGAAUAAAGUGCUCUGAUAAAAUUCCCCA